UGCUAUGAUCACUACAUUAC
rnacentral:siRNA from 1 species